rnacentral:rRNA from 1 species
CCUACGGGAGGCAGCAGUGGGGGAUAUUGCACAAUGGGGGAAACCCUGAUGCAGCGACGCCGCGUGUGGGAAGACGGUCCUCUGGAUUGUAAACCACUGUCCCCAGGGACGAAGAUGACGGUACCUGGGGAGGAAGCUCCGGCUAACUACGUGCCAGCAGCCGCGUUAAUACGUAGGGAGCGAGCGUUGUCCGGAAUUACUGGGUGUAAAGGGAGCGUAGGCGGGACUGCAAGUUGGGUGUCAAAUCUACCGGCUCAACCGGUAGCCGCACUCAAAACUGCAGUUCUUGAGGGAAGUAGAGGCAGGUGGAAUUCCUAGUGUAGCGGUGAAAUGUGUAGAUAUUAGGAGGAACACCAGUGGCGAAGGCGGCCUGCUGGGCUUUUACUGACGCUGAGGCUCGAAAGUGUGAGGAGCAAACAGGAUUAGAUACCCCUGUAGUC